rnacentral:lncRNA from 1 species
AGAACUGCAAAACAGAGAUUACCUGACCUAAAGCAUUUAUAUUGCCAAUCAUGUUGGAGAGUCCAUGUGGUGAUUUCUGAAAAUGAGAUGUGAGAAAGAAGAGGAUAAUUUAAGUCUAGACCUACAGAUUGUGCUGAUAAAGUGACGAAGAACUACAAUCUUCUUAGUCAUUUCAUUGUAUAAGUGCAAUAAACGAUUUUGUGUCUUUCCUGGCAAACAACUUGUGACCACAGUGAUGGCUCCAGCAGAAUGGAAAAGACCCUUUACCUCACAUCUCAGAAGUAAAGAUGCUGAUUAUUUGACAUUGCCAUUGCAAUCUCAAAACAGUGUAAAGCAUUUGCUAAAAAGAGUCACUUUCUGAGAAAUGACUCAGAAUUCGACUUACGUACUAGCAGAACUUAUUGCCCAUAAAAGGAAAGGCCACACUUUUUGUGAAAACUUAAUAAUCCCUAGGAUGUAAAAUUAUACUGAGUUAAAUCCUAGGCCCAUUUUUAGUAUAAGAAAUUGGAAAAAAAUAAUCCACUCUCAAAUGGUAAGACAAAUUGAGAUAUUGCUGAAAAGCCUCUUGACCCUGAAAAGGUUCUGAAU